rnacentral:rRNA from 1 species
AGAGUUUGAUCAUGGCUCAGGACUAACGCUGACGGUGUGCCUAAUACAUGCAAGUCGAACGAGCAAUAAGAGAGUGGCCACACUUUCUUAAAGCUCGUGGCGAACGGGUGACUAACGCGUGGGUAAUCUGCCUCAUAGAUUGGGAUAACUCCUUGAAAGAGGAGCUAAUACCGGAUGUGCUAUUUUUAUCUCAUGAUAUUUUUAGCAAAGGUUGCCGCAAGGCUUCUGCUUUGAGAUGAGCCCGCGUCCUAUUAACUUGUUGGUAGGGUAAUGGCCUACCAAGGCUAUGAUGGGUAGCCGGUCUGAGAGGAUGUUCGGCCACACUGGGACUGACAUACGGCCCAGACUCCUACGGGAGGCAGCAGUAGGGAAUAUUGCUCAAUGGGCGAAAGCCUGACGCAGCGACACCGUGUGAAGGAUGAAGGUCUUCGGAUUGUAAACUUCUGUCAAUUGGGGACGAAGGUACUAAGGUUAAUAGCCUGCAGUACUGACGGUAUCCGAUAAGGAAGUCUCGGCUUACUCCGUGCCAGCAGCCGCGGUAAGACGGGGGAGGCAAGCGUUGUCCGGAAUUAUUGGGCGUAAAGAGCGCGUAGGUGGUUUAUCAAGUCAUUUGUGAAAACUUUACGCUUAACUUAAAGAUUGCAAGUGAUACUGGUAAACUUGAGCACAGUAUAGGAAAGUGGAAUUCCUGGUGUAGCGGUGAAAUGCGCAGAUAUCAGGAAGAACACCAGUGGCGAAAGCGGCUUUCUGGGCUGUUGCUGACACU